CGAAUCGCCCUUCGGGGCGCCCAGGCGCGAAAACUUCACAAUGGGAGAAAUCCCGAUGAGGGAAUUCCAAGUGCUAGCACUAUGUGUUAGCUGUUCUUUUGUCUAAAAAACAGAAGAAGUAAGGGCCGGGUAAGACGGGUGCCAGCCGCCGCGGUAAUACCCGCGGCCCGAGUGGUGGUCGAUAUUAUUGAGCCUAAAACGUCCGUAGCCGGUCUUGUAAAUCCUUGGGUAAAUCGGCCAGCUUAACUGUCCGAAGUCCGGGGAGACUGCAAGACUUGGGAUCGGGAGAGGUCAGAGGUACUUCUGGGGUAGGGGUAAAAUCCUGUAAUCCUGGAAGGACCACCGGUGGCGAAGGCGUCUGACUAGAACGAAUUCGACGGUGAGGGACGAAGCCCUGGGGCGCAAACGGGAUUAGAUACCCCGGUAGUCCAGGGUGUAAACGCUGCGGGCUUGGUGUUGGGGGUCCUUUGUGGGCGCCCAGUGCCGGAGAGAAGUUGUUAAGCCUGCUGCUUGGGGAGUACGUCCGCAAGGAUGAAACUUAAAGGAAUUGGCGGGGGAGCAC
rnacentral:rRNA from 1 species